rnacentral:sRNA from 1 species
AUGCAAGAAGAGAAAUUGAUGAAGACAUGAAAGAAACAGUUAUGUCCUUACACUCAUUGCCUAUAAUGCCUAACAU